GGUUAAGUGACUAAGCGUACACGGUGGAUGCCUAGGCAGUCAGAGGCGAUGAAGGGCGUGCUAAUCUGCGAAAAGCGUCGGUAAGGUGAUAUGAACCGUUACAACCGGCGAUACCCGAAUGGGGAAACCCAGUGUGUUUCGACACACUAUCAUGUCAUGAAUACAUAGUGGCAUGAGGCGAACCGGGGGAACUGAAACAUCUAAGUACCCCGAGGAAAAGAAAUCAACCGAGAUUCCCCCAGUAGCGGCGAGCGAACGGGGAGGAGCCCAGAACCUGAAUCGGCUUGUGUGUUAGUGGAAGCGUCUGGAAAGUCGCGCAGCAAAGGGUGAUAGCCCCGUACACUAAAAUGCACAGGUCGUGAGUUCGAUGAGUAGGGCGGGACACGUGACAUCCUGUCUGAAUAUGGGGGGACCAUCCUCCAAGGCUAAAUACUCCUGACUGACCGAUAGUGAACCAGUACCGUGAGGGAAAGGCGAAAAGAACCCCGGCGAGGGGAGUGAAAUAGAACCUGAAACCGUGUACGUACAAGCAGUGGGAGCACCUUCGUGGUGUGACUGCGUACCUUUUGUAUAAUGGGUCAGCGACUUAUAUUUUGUAGCAAGGUUAACCGUAUAGGGGAGCCGUAGGGAAACCGAGUCUUAACUGGGCGAAUAGUUGCAAGGUAUAGACCCGAAACCCGGUGAUCUAGCCAUGGGCAGGUUGAAGGUUGGGUAACACUAACUGGAGGACCGAACCGACUAAUGUUGAAAAAUUAGCGGAUGACUUGUGGCUGGGGGUGAAAGGCCAAUCAAACCGGGAGAUAGCUGGUUCUCCCCGAAAGCUAUUUAGGUAGCGCCUCGUGAACUCAUCUUCGGGGGUAGAGCACUGUUUCGGCUAGGGGGCCAUCCCGGCUUACCAAACCGAUGCAAACUCCGAAUACCGAAGAAUGUUAUCACGGGAGACACACGGCGGGUGCUAACGUCCGUCGUGAAGAGGGAAACAACCCAGACCGCCAGCUAAGGUCCCAAAGUCAUGGUUAAGUGGGAAACGAUGUGGGAAGGCAUAGACAGCCAGGAUGUUGGCUUAGAAGCAGCCAUCAUUUAAAGAAAGCGUAAUAGCUCACUGGUCGAGUCGGCCUGCGCGGAAGAUGUAACGGGGCUAAACCAUGCACCGAAGCUGCGGCAGCGACGCUUAGGCGUUGUUGGGUAGGGGAGCGUUCUGUAAGCCGUUGAAGGUGGCCUGUGAGGGUUGCUGGAGGUAUCAGAAGUGCGAAUGCUGACAUAAGUAACGAUAAAGCGGGUGAAAAGCCCGCUCGCCGGAAGACCAAGGGUUCCUGUCCAACGUUAAUCGGGGCAGGGUGAGUCGACCCCUAAGGCGAGGCUGAAAAGCGUAGUCGAUGGGAAACAGGUUAAUAUUCCUGUACUUGGUGUUACUGCGAAGGGGGGACGGAGAAGGCUAGGCUAGCCGGGCGACGGUUGUCCCGGUUUAAGCGUGUAGGGGGUGUGACCUGGUAAAUCCGGUUGCAUAUCAACCCUGAGGCGUGAUGACGAUGCACUACGGUGCAGAAGUAGUUGAUGCCCUGCUUCCAGGAAAAGCCUCUAAGCUCUAGGUAACAUUGAAUCGUACCCCAAACCGACACAGGUGGUCAGGUAGAGAAUACCAAGGCGCUUGAGAGAACUCGGGUGAAGGAACUAGGCAAAAUGGUGCCGUAACUUCGGGAGAAGGCACGCUGGCAUGUAGGUGAAGUCCUUCGCGGAUGGAGCUGAAGCCAGUCGAAGAUACCAGCUGGCUGCAACUGUUUAAUAAAAACACAGCACUGUGCAAACACGAAAGUGGACGUAUACGGUGUGACGCCUGCCCGGUGCUGGAAGGUUAAUUGAUGGGGUCAGCCGCAAGGCGAAGCUCUUGAUCGAAGCCCCAGUAAACGGCGGCCGUAACUAUAACGGUCCUAAGGUAGCGAAAUUCCUUGUCGGGUAAGUUCCGACCUGCACGAAUGGCGUAAUGAUGGCCAGGCUGUCUCCACCCGAGACUCAGUGAAAUUGAACUCGCUGUGAAGAUGCAGUGUACCCGCGGCAAGACGGAAAGACCCCGUGAACCUUUACUAUAGCUUGACACUGAACAUUGAGCCUUGAUGUGUAGGAUAGGUGGGAGGCUUUGAAGCGUGGACGCCAGUCUGCGUGGAGCCAUCCUUGAAAUACCACCCUUUAAUGUUUGAUGUUCUAACUCGGCCCCAUAAUCUGGGGUGAGGACAGUGUCUGGUGGGUAGUUUGACUGGGGCGGUCUCCUCCCAAAGAGUAACGGAGGAGCACGAAGGUUAGCUAAUCACGGUCGGACAUCGUGAGGUUAGUGCAAAGGCAUAAGCUAGCUUGACUGCGAGAGUGACGGCUCGAGCAGGUACGAAAGUAGGUCUUAGUGAUCCGGUGGUUCUGAAUGGAAGGGCCAUCGCUCAACGGAUAAAAGGUACUCCGGGGAUAACAGGCUGAUACCGCCCAAGAGUUCAUAUCGACGGCGGUGUUUGGCACCUCGAUGUCGGCUCAUCACAUCCUGGGGCUGAAGUAGGUCCCAAGGGUAUGGCUGUUCGCCAUUUAAAGUGGUACGCGAGCUGGGUUUAGAACGUCGUGAGACAGUUCGGUCCCUAUCUGCCGUGGGCGUUGGAAGAUUGAGAGGGGUUGCUCCUAGUACGAGAGGACCGGAGUGAACGCACCACUGGUGUUCGGGUUGUCAUGCCAAUGGCAUUGCCCGGUAGCUAAGUGCGGAAAAGAUAAGCGCUGAAAGCAUCUAAGCGCGAAACUUGCCUCAAGAUGAGUCUUCCCUGGGCCUUUAAGGCCCCUGAAGGAACGUUUAAGACUAAGACGUUGAUAGGCUGGGUGUGUAAGUGCAGCGAUGCAUUGAGCUAACCAGUACUAAUGAUCCGUGAGGCUUAACCUU
rnacentral:rRNA from 2 species